AAAACAAGAGAACUCAAAAAUAGAUCGUGUAGUAUUCUCGAGCUUUAUCCCCAGCCAGUCAGCAUUAGGGUUUUAAACCCUAAACUGAACUUUUUUCAUUCAGCCAGCAUUAGGGUUUUAAACCCUAAACUGAGUUUUUUCAUGCAAUCAACAUUAGGGAUUUAAACCCUAAACUGAAUUUUCCUUUUAGUCAACAUUAGGGUUUUAAACCCUAAACUGAACUUUUUCCUUUCAGCCAGCAUUAGGGUUUUUAAACCCUAAACCGAGCUUUUUCCAUGCAAUCAGCAUUAGGGUUUUAAACCCUAAAUUGAAUUUUCCUUUUAGUCAGCAUUAGGGUUUUAAACCCUAAACUGAACUUUUUCCUUUUUCAGCCAGCAUUAGGGUUUUAAACCCUAAACUGAGCUUUUCCAUGCAAUCAGCAUUAGGGUUUUAAACCCUACCCUGAAUUUUCCU
rnacentral:lncRNA from 1 species